rnacentral:sRNA from 1 species
AGCUGUUCCCCUCUGGAGGUUUUUGACCUUCACACUUAAAAGGGCCCUGGUUUUCCAGUGGCCCUCUUUUUUUGCCUUU